rnacentral:rRNA from 1 species
UACGUAGGGUGCGAGCGUUGUCCGGAAUUAUUGGACGUAAAGAGCUCGUAGGCGGUGUGUCACGUCGGCCGUGAAAACCUGCAGCUUAACUGUGGGCGUGCGGUCGAUACGGGCAUCACUGGAGUUCGGCAGGGGAGACUGGAAUUCCUGGUGUAGCGGUGAAAUGCGCAGAUAUCAGGAGGAACACCGAUGGCGAAGGCAGUUCUCUGGGCCGUAACUGACGCUGAGGAGCGAAAGCGUGGGGAGCGAACAGG